CUGUGUCAUCUCGACCUGGAGCCUGUUAUC
rnacentral:piRNA from 1 species